rnacentral:rRNA from 1 species
UACGUAGGGUGCGAGCGUUGUCCGGAAUUAUUGGGCGUAAAGAGCUCGUAGGCGGUCUGUCGCGUCGAUCGUGAAAACUUGGGGCUUAACCCUGAGCUUGCGGUCGAUACGGGCAUGACUGGAGUUCGGCAGGGGAGACUGGAAUUCCUGGUGUAGCGGUGAAAUGCGCAGAUAUCAGGAGGAACACCGGUGGCGAAGGCGGGUCUCUGGGCCGGUACUGACGCUGAGGUGCGAAAGCGUGGGGAGCAAACAGG